UACGGGGGGGGCAAGCGUUGUUCGGAAUUACUGGGCGUAAAGGGCUCGUAGGCGGCCAACUAAGUCAGACGUGAAAUCCCUCGGCUUAACCGGGGAACUGCAUCUGAUACUGGAUGGCUUGAGUUCGGGAGAGGGAUGCGGAAUUCCAGGUGUAGCGGUGAGAUGCGUAGAUAUCUGGAGGAACACCGGUGGCGAAGGCGGCAUCCUGGACCGGCACUGACGCUGAGGAGCGAAAGCCAGGGGAGCAAACGGG
rnacentral:rRNA from 1 species